GGAUCGUUACCCUGAGAGAGCGUUAUCCAUGACCUAUGCUGAUUUGCCUGCUCCUGAAUUGAAAUGGGAACAGAUGGCAUCUGCACCUGUGGUUCGUUUGGAUGGCUAUUCUCUUCAGAUUAAGGAUUUGCUUUUCGUUUUUGCAGGAUAUGAAAACCUAGACCAUGUGCAUUCUCAUGUUGAUGUUUACAAUUUUACAUCAAAUACAUGGACGGAGAGUUUUGCAAU
rnacentral:misc_RNA from 1 species